CCCUUAGAUGUUCUGGGCCGCACGCGCGCUACACUGUUCGACGCAGCGAGUCUUAACCUUGACCGAAAGGUUUGGGUAAUCUUCAGCAAAGUCGAACGUGAUGGGGAUCGAUCAUUGCAAUUAUUGAUCGUGAACGAGGAAUUCCUAGUAAGUGCAAGUCAUCAGCUUGCGCUGAUUACGUCCCUGCCCUUUGUACACACCGCCCGUCGCUACUACCGAUUGAAUGGUUUAGUGAGAUCUCUGGAUUGACGCUGGCUAGGGGCGACCCUUGGCCAGGCUGUCGAGAAACUGCUCAAACUUGAUCAUUUAGAGGAAGUAAAAGUCGUAACA
rnacentral:rRNA from 1 species